UUCACCUUGGACAGUCGCAUAAACAUUUACGUACAUAGCCACCCCAUCUUUCUCUCUGUCUCCUUUUAAAUAAUGUUAACAACUUAGCGCACAAUAAGAUACAGCAAUUCAAACACCCUCAUCUUUGGCUGUCUCUUGUUCCAUUUCCUCCUUAUCUAUCCAUUAUCAUGUCCCUUGUCUGUAUAAAUGUAUAAAGAGGAAGAGAGUUCCAGUCAUUUGGUUUUUAACUCGGCCUGAAACCUUGGUUGUGGCGAAUUCACUUCACAGUGAUCGAGGAACGUUGAGAUUUUAAGUGACACUUGACUUUCAAGGCAUUGAAGUUUCUUGUUAUUUUCAAGGAAUGAACUUUCUGUAAAGGACUUGCAGAUUUAAAGAAGAGCAAAGAUGAAUACUAGCGCGAGGAAUAGGCUGCAGUCCAUGAAAGCUCCAAUGAAGCUUGAAAAGGAGAAGGCUGAAAUGCAGGGGAGCAAACCAAAUGUUGCCAAAAACAGACGAAUCUCGAGCAGAGAGAGAAAAAUAGCAUUGCAACAAGAUGUUGAUAAUCUAAAGAAGCAACUGAGGCAUGAAGAGAAUAUUCACAGAGCUUUGGAGAGAGCUUUCAGCAGACCGUUGGGAGCUCUCCCUCGCCUUCCUCCAUAUCUCCCUCGUGCGACGCUGGAGCUUCUUGCAGAAGUGGCUGUUUUGGAAGAGGAGGUGGUUCAGCUUGAAGAACAGAUUGUCUAUUUUAAGCAAGACUUGUACCAAGAAGCUGUCCACAUUUCAAGCUCCAAAAGGAACAUGGGAAGUUUUUCCGAUUUAUACAACUUGUACCGAAAUAAGAAUCCCAAGCCAGAUCAGUUGAAGUCCUCAGCUCAAAAUCUGGACAAAUCAGCCACUUCCAUGAUAAGGCAUUUGCCAGCUCUUUCCACAGAUGGAACGGGGAAAGAGAAUGCAUUCUCUACUGCUAAUUCUACGAAGAACAACAAAGGAUCCUCGAUCCAUAAAGCUCAGACAAGCAAAAAUAUGUUCAAAAUACCUCCUGUCAACGGAUCAGCAGAGAAGACAUUAGAUUCUCCCAAGUUACAGCUAGAACGCAGAGUAACAGGCCAAGAAAAUGUGGAAGCAAGAACUGUUGUUACUCCAGGUGAAAGGCUAUCAGGAGAUGACAGCCCGAACAAGGUGUCGGAGGACAUCAUGAAAUGCUUGUCAAGCAUUUUCUUACGAAUGAGCUCAGUGAAAAAUAAGCCUACUGCAGAUAAUUUACCUUUCUCGUCAACAUUAGUCUCUCAAGAAAAUGGGAAAGAAAUUGAAUGUCGGGAUCCAUAUGAUAUAUGCUCAGAAUUUGGAAACAGAGAUAUUGGGUCAUAUAAGCGUUUGUUUUCAAUAGAACCUGGGGCGACUAAUCCCAACCGAACAUCAAAUUCUUUGUUUCUACUUCACAGACUUGAACUUCUAUUGGGGAAACUUGCCUCCGUCAACUUGCAGAACCUCACUCAUCAGGAGAAACUUGCGUUCUGGAUAAAUAUUUACAAUUCCUGCAUGAUGAAUGCAUUUCUAGAACAUGGAAUCCCCGAGAGUCCUGAGAUGGUUGUUGAACUAAUGAGAAAGGCAACAAUAAAUAUUGGAGGACACCUGCUAAAUGCAAUAACUAUAGAAAAUUUCAUCCUUGGACUGCCUUAUUACUCAAAAUACGUAAGCGGUGCCCAUUACAACUUCCAUGAAAGCUUUUUUAGAAAAUUAAAUACUUCCUCAGCAUGCCAUUUACUCCUGAGUUCUGAUCAGACAAUUUCAAAACGCGCCAAAAAUGAUGAAAUGGCAGCGAGGAACAAAUUUGGAUUGGAGUUAUCUGAACCACUGGUAUCAUUUGCCCUUCGCUGUGGAAGCCGGUCCUCCCCUGCUUCCAAACUGCAAUGCAGCUUCAUUUUGCUAUGAAUCACCGAUAAUACCGCCUACAAAAGUCAUUAAGCUCUAAAACAUUAAUUUAUCCUCGUGCUGCACUGAGAGUGAAAACAAACGCGAGAGUCCAAGCAAUGACAGUUCCAUUAAAGAAUAUUUAUUAGGUGUAGACAGUGAGUGGCAGGCAAUUUCUCUGUCUGGCAUGCUAAUGAAUGGAUCUCUAUGCAUUCCACUUGAUAUAAUUCCAUUUCAAGACAUUCAAAGAAGGUAUUGCUGCUGAUGCAUCCUUUAACACUUGUGGUCCAAAUGAAAGCAUCCCAGAUCACCUUCAAUGCUUAGCACAGGUUGGUGCCAUUUCCACACUCCUCUGGCAGCUUUCACAAUCACUUAGCCGCCUGCCAAUCAAUGUUCGUGCAAGAAUUUGAAAUGUUUGAUAUCACCAUGAUCUUCGUUAUGGUUUUUGGAUCAUAUAUAAACACUCAGAAUCUAUUAUAUCAAGAAUUCAUUAUAAAUAUAUUUAGAAUCUAUUAUAAAUACUUAAAGA